AGAAGUUUAGGAUAUUUAGUCCAAGAGCCUUCAAAGCCCUAAGAAAACAUUUAAGUUUAACUUCUGA
rnacentral:tRNA from 1 species